UGUGAUAGAUAGCAAAUGGCAGAAUAGAUGU
rnacentral:piRNA from 1 species